rnacentral:rRNA from 1 species
UGGGGAAUAUUGGACAAUGGGGGGAACCCUGAUCCAGCCAUGCCGCGUGUGUGAAGAAGGCCUUAUGGUUGUAAAGCACUUUAAGCGAGGAGGAGGGUACUGGUAUUAAUACUACCAGGUACUGGACGUUACUCACAGAAUAAGCACCGGCUAACUCUGUGCCAGCAGCCGCGGUAAUACAGAGGGUGCAAGCGUUAAUCGGAAUUACUGGGCGUAAAGCGCGCGUAGGUGGUUCGUUAAGUUGAAUGUGAAAGCCCCGGGCUCAACCUGGGAACUGCAUCCAAAACUGGCGAGCUAGAGUAGGGCAGAGGGUGGUGGAAUUUCCUGUGUAGCGGUGAAAUGCGUAGAUAUAGGAAGGAACACCAGUGGCGAAGGCGACCACCUGGGCUCAUACUGACACUGAGGUGCGAAAGCGUGGGGAGCAAACAGG